UACGGGGGGGGCAAGCGUUGUUCGGAAUUACUGGGCGUAAAGGGCUCGUAGGCGGCCAACUAAGUCGGAUGUGAAAUCCCCAGGCUUAACCUGGGAAUUGCAUCCGAUACUGGAUGGCUUGAAUCCGGGAGAGGGAUGCGGAAUUCCAGGUGUAGCGGUGAAAUGCGUAGAUAUCAGGAGGAACACCUGUGGUGUAGACGGCUUACUGGACCAUGACUGACGCUGAGGCACGAAAGCGUGGGGAGCAAACAGG
rnacentral:rRNA from 1 species